GCUCCGAUAGCUUAGUGGUAGAGCAAAUGGGCGACAACCAUGAGGUCACCGGAUCGAAACCGGCUUGGAGCA